CUUCACGACUGAAAGCAAACCAGGCUUUUAUUCUCCAGGGAUAUCAGUAUUUCUGAAGAUCAAGGCUACGUUUUUGACAGUUGAACAAUGACGUUCUGCUACCACGUUUCCUCCUGGACUUAUAAGGGCUGCUUCAGUAACAGGAAUCUUGAACUCUCCCCACUGCUGAGUUUUGCUAUGUGCGUUGCCACUGUGACCCACUUUCCUUUCUUAGAUAAAAGCUGCCGACAAAGCAUCAUCGUUUUCCUUCCCUCUGCUCCCACAUAUUCUCCUUCCGAAACACUUUCUUCCUCUAAAUGAAUUCUUGCGCGUGACUGUUGCCAUAAGUUACUGAUCUGCUGGAAAAAAAAAAAGCCUCUUUAAAGCCUUCAAUUGAGAUUUCAGAAGAAUGAAAGUCAUAAUGAGAAAAAAAAGAAACCAUAAAGCAAAAGUUAAUGGAGGCAGCCACACAACCACAGGUCUCUCUGCAGGUUCUGGAACAUUAACUACUAAUGCAGAGAUAAAGAGCCAUGCUGUUGCUGUUUUCUUUUUUAAAGCUGCUGUUCUCCUUCGUUUCACUUGGGAACCAGCCACGAACAGAAACGCAGACUGCCAGUCGCAAGAGGUAAAUGGCAUUUUUGAAAUCCAGGAGCUCUACGUGGUUGAAGAACUUCCUUGAACUUCAGCGCCUUUCAGCAGCGCGCUGAGCACUUCUGUGUCCUGACCCAAAAUUGUGUUACUGAUCUCAGCAAACUGCUAUGGCUACACAGAGAUAUUAGCCUGAGUCCCAGAAGCAGCAUCAUUAUGGUACUUUGCCUGGGAUAAUUAUCUUCUUAACAUGGGUAAUUAGGCUGGUUGCCACACCAUGCUGACUCAGCUCUGCCGUGCUUGCCCGUGGAUCACGCUCAGCUCAGAGCUAACCAGGAAGAACUCUGUUGGACAUGACAAAGUAUCACCAAAGGGGAAGAAUAACAGAGUGAGAUGAACGGGGACUCUCAGUCCACUGGGACUGAACAAGUGCAGCUUUGCUCGUGAGCUCAGCUCAUGUCGCAUGAACACG